GAAAGUAAGUAAGGGCGUAUGGGGGAUGCCUAGGCUCUUGGAGGCUAAGAAGGACGUGGUAAGCUGCGAAAAGCUGCGGGGAUUUGCAAACGAGACUCGAUCCGCAGAUAUCCGAAUGGGACAACCCGGCAGGUAGAAGACCUGUCACACCGCGAGGUGAGCUAACCCUCUGAACUGAAACAUCUAAGUAGGAGGAGGAAAAGAAAGAAACAUCGAUUUCCAAAGUAGCGGCGAGCGAAAUGGAAGAAGCCCAAACCGAUAUUGUUACGGCAAUAUCGGGGUUGUAGGACUGCAAUAUUCAAUUAACAAUGAACUGGAAUGGUCUGGAAAGUCCAUCCAUAGAGAGUGAAAGGCUCGUACAGGUAAGUUUGUUAUGCGAAAGCAGUAUCCUGAGUAUGGCGGGACACGAGGAAUCCUGUCAGAAUCAGCCGGGACCACCCGGUAAGGCUAAAUACUCCCAAGAGACCGAUAGUGGACCAGUACUGUGAAGGAAAGGUGAAAAGAACCCCGAACAGGGGAGUGAAAUAGAACCUGAAACCAUACGCUUACAACCGGUCGGAGCAGCUUCGUGCUGUGACGGCGUGCCUAUUGAAUAAUGAGCCUACGAGUUACUAAUCACUAGCGAGGUUAAGUGCAAGGAUGCACGGAGUCGAAGCGAAAGCGAGUCUGAACAGGGCGUUUAGUUAGUGGUUGUAGACGCGAAACCUUGCGAUCUACCCUUGAGCAGGUUGAAGGUUGGGUAAAACCAACUGGAGGACCGAACGAAUAAGCGUUGAAAAGCUUCUCGAUGACUUGAGGGUAGGGGUGAAAGGCUAAUCAAGCUGGGAAAUAGCUCGUACUCCCCGAAAUGCCUUUUGGGGCAGCGUUGUAAUAAAGAGUCUACUGGAGGUAGAGCUACUGAUUGGAUGCGGGGGCUUCACCGCCUACCAAAUCCUGACAAACUCCGAAUGCCAGUAGUAUGAUUUACAGCAGUGAGUGACUGGGUGCUAAUGUCCAGUCGCAAAAGAGGAACAACUCAGACCAGCAACUAAGGUCCCGAAGAAUAUGCUAAGUUGAUCUAACGAUGUUUUGUUGCAGAGACAGCUAGGAUGUUAGCUUGGAAGCAGCUAUUCAUUCAAAGAGUGCGUAACAGCUCACUAGUCGAGCGACAGAGCGUGGAUAAUAAACGGGCAUCAAGCAUAUCACCGAAGUUCUGGGCGCGAGAGCGCGGUAGGGGAGCAUUCCAUUCAGCGUCGAAGCAGUUUCGUGAGGAAUUGUGGAGCGUAUGGAAAAGCAAAUGUAGGCAUGAGUAACGAUAAUGCGGGAGAGUAACCCGCACACCGCAAGACCAAGGUUUCCUGAUCAACGCUAAUCGGAUCAGGGUUAGUCGGGUCCUAAGGGUAAGCCGAACGGCGAUCUCGAUGGAUAAUCGGUUAAUAUUCCGAUACUAACAUAUACCUCGAUGGAGAGACGAAGGAACGUAAGUGCCGCCACCUGACGGAAUAGGUGGUUAAAGGGCGUAGAUAUAGGGGCAGAUUAAGAGUUAGUCCUUGCUGAAACCUGACAGUACAGAGAGCCUACGGGCAAUUUGAUAGAGCACCCAAGUCGACUUCCGAGAAAAUCUUCUAAGUUAUAGUAUAUGUUACCCGUACCGUAAACCGACACAGGUGGUCGAGGAGAGUAUCCUAAGGUGCUCGAGUGAAUCACGGUUAAGGAACUAGGCAAAUUAACCCCGUAACUUCGGGAAAAGGGGUCCCUAUGAAAGUAGGGCGCAGCGAAGAGGUCCAGGCGACUGUUUAUCAAAAACACAGGGCUCUGCAAAUUCGAAAGAAGACGUAUAGGGCCUGACACCUGCCCGGUGCUGGAAGGUUAAGAGGGGAUGUCAUCGCAAGAGAAGCAUUGAAUCGAAGCCCCAGUAAACGGCGGCCGUAACUAUAACGGUCCUAAGGUAGCGAAAUUCCUUGUCGGGUAAGUUCCGACCUG
rnacentral:rRNA from 1 species